rnacentral:rRNA from 1 species
ACGAACGCUGGCGGCACGCUUAACACAUGCAAGUCGAACGAGAGAAGAGGAGCUUGCUUUUCUGAUCUAGUGGCGGACGGGUGAGUAACACGUGAGCAAUCUGCCUUUCAGAGGGGGAUACCGAUUGGAAACGAUCGUUAAUACCGCAUAACAUAAUUGAACCGCAUGAUUUGAUUAUCAAAGAUUUAUCGCUGAAAGAUGAGCUCGCGUCUGAUUAGCUAGUUGGUAAGGUAACGGCUUACCAAGGCGACGAUCAGUAGCCGGACUGAGAGGUUGAUCGGCCACAUUGGGACUGAGACACGGCCCAGACUCCUACGGGAGGCAGCAGUGGGGAAUAUUGCACAAUGGAGGAAACUCUGAUGCAGCGAUGCCGCGUGAGGGAAGAAGGUUUUAGGAUUGUAAACCUCUGUCUUCAGGGACGAAAAAAGACGGUACCUGAGGAGGAAGCUCCGGCUAACUACGUGCCAGCAGCCGCGGUAAUACGUAGGGAGCGAGCGUUGUCCGGAAUUACUGGGUGUAAAGGGAGCGUAGGCGGGAUCGCAAGUCAGAUGUGAAAACUAUGGGCUUAACCCAUAAACUGCAUUUGAAACUGUGGUUCUUGAGUGAAGUAGAGGUAAGCGGAAUUCCUAGUGUAGCGGUGAAAUGCGUAGAUAUUAGGAGGAACAUCAGUGGCGAAGGCGGCUUACUGGGCUUUAACUGACGCUGAGGCUCGAAAGCGUGGGGAGCAAACAGGAUUAGAUACCCUGGUAGUCCACGCCGUAAACGAUGAUUACUAGGUGUGGGGGGACUGACCCCUUCCGUGCCGCAGCAAACGCAAUAAGUAAUCCACCUGGGGAGUACGACCGCAAGGUUGAAACUCAAAGGAAUUGACGGGGGCCCGCACAAGCAGUGGAGUAUGUGGAUUAAUUCGAAGCAACGCGAAGAACCUUACCAGGUCUUGACAUCGUAUGCAUAGCUCAGAGAUGAGUGAAAUCUCUUCGGAGACAUAUAGACAGGUGGUGCAUGGUUGUCGUCAGCUCGUGUCGUGAGAUGUUGGGUUAAGUUCCGCAACGAGCGCAACCCUUACUGUUAGUUGCUACGCAAGAGCACUCUAGCAGGACUGCCGUUGACAAAACGGAGGAAGGUGGGGAUGACGUCAAAUCAUCAUGCCCCUUAUGACCUGGGCCUCACACGUACUACAAUGGCUGUCAACAGAGGGAUGCAAAGCCGCGAGGUGGAGCGAACCCCUAAAAGCAGUCUUAGUUCGGAUUGUAGGCUGCAACCCGCCUACAUGAAGUCGGAAUUGCUAGUAAUCGCAGAUCAGCAUGCUGCGGUGAAUACGUUCCCGGGCCUUGUACACACCGCCCGUCACGCCAUGGGAGUCGGUAACACCCGAAGCCUGUAGUCUAACCGCAAGGAGGACGCAGUCGAAGGUGGGAUUGAUGACUGGGGUG